rnacentral:rRNA from 1 species
GACGAACGCUGGCGGCGUGCUUAACACAUGCCAGUCGAACGGAAAGGCCCUGCUUGCAGGGUACUCGAGUGGCGAACGGGUGAGUAACACGUGGGUGAUCUGCCCUUCACUUCGGGAUAAGCCUGGGAAACUGGGUCUAAUACCGGAUAGGAGCCAUUUUUAGUGUGAUGGUUGGAAAGUUUUUUCGGUGUAGGAUGAGCUCGCGGCCUAUCAGCUUGUUGGUGGGGUAAUGGCCUACCAAGGCGGCGACGGGUAGCCGGCCUGAGAGGGUGGACGGCCACAUUGGGACUGAGAUACGGCCCAGACUCCUACGGGAGGCAGCAGUGGGGAAUAUUGCACAAUGGGCGCAAGCCUGAUGCAGCGACGCCGCGUGGGGGAUGACGGCCUUCGGGUUGUAAACUCCUUUCGCUAGGGACGAAGCUUUUUGUGACGGUACCUAGAUAAGAAGCACCGGCUAACUACGUG